rnacentral:rRNA from 1 species
UACGGGGGGGGCAAGCGUUGUUCGGAAUCACUGGGCGUAAAGGGUGCGUAGGCGGGUCUUUAAGUCGGGGGUGAAAUCCCGAGGCUCAACCUCGGAACUGCCUUCGAUACUGGCGAUCUUUGAGUCCGGGAGAGGUGAGUGGAACUCCGAGUGUAGAGGUGAAAUUCGUAGAUAUUCGGAAGAACACCAGUGGCGAAGGCGGCUCACUGGCCCGGUACUGACGCUGAGGUGCGAAAGCGUGGGGAGCAAACAGG